rnacentral:rRNA from 1 species
UAAUACAGAGGGUGCGAGCGUUGUUCGGAAUUACUGGGCGUAAAGCGCGCGCAGGCGGUUCUUUAAGUCUACCCGUGAAAUGCCGGAGCUCAACUCCGUGCACGCCGGGGGAUACUGGAGAACUGGAGACAGGUAGAGGCAGGCGGAAUUCCGGGUGUAGCGGUGGAAUGCGUAGAGAUCCGGAAGAACACCAGAGGCGAAGGCGGCCUGCUGGGCCUUGUCUGACGCUGAGGCGCGAAAGCGUGGGGAGCGAACAGGAUUAGAUACCCUGGUAGUCCACGCCGUAAACGAUGGGCACUGGGCGCGGGUGGGAUCGACCCCUUCCGUGCCGUAGCUAACGCGAUAAGUGCCCCGCCUGGGGAGUACGGCCGCAAGGCUG